CCGCUGCAUGGAUGGAGAAGACAAGUCAGUCUCCGAGGAAAAUAGCAGUACUUAGCAGCAAAUAGUGCAAGUCUGUAAUUAGACUGGAAAACCACAUUUUACACUUAGUAUACAGCUAAUAAUGUGCUAUUGAUCUGUGGUCAGAUUAUCUAAUUAUACAUUAUGUAAUGCAUUAUGAUCGUAGACAGAUUAUACACUGUGUAUUUGGGGUAAGUCAUUUAUUAAGUCAAAAUCUGUCAUAAUUAGGAUUUGGAAAAUUCCCAAAUCUAACCUGACGUCCAUUGGACACAAGGGGCUCAACACAAGGGACUUGAAAUCUUUAUAAUUGAGAGUCCAGUCCCAUUGUAAGCGUCACAUAGCCAAAAUGUCAAAAUGCAUUUUUUCCCCCCCUUUUUCCUUUAUUUGCUUUCUGACCUCUUCUCAAGAGGUUAUGGUUUCAUCACCUCAGGUUUGUUUGUUUUUGUGUGUGCAGCUUCCUAUCAGCAGUUUCUUUAAAUAUAUAUGGAGAAACUGGAUUUAUCCAAAAGUUAUCAUCAUCAUUAAAUAUAAAUAGCAAAGUAUACAGGUAUUAAAGUUGCAUAAAUUAGGAGUUUUAACUGGAGGUGUUUUUUUUUCUUCAAUAGUAGCCUUUCAAAUAAAUACAUGAUGGAUUGUUUUUUGAAACAAUGCACUUGAUUUCAGUGUGUACAUGUGGCGAAGACUCUCCGUAGAGUCCACUAGCAACCCAGGCUAAACUUAGCUCUUAUUUCCAUGACAUGAAUUUCAAUUAUGAUUUCUUUAGAGCAUUUCAAAUAGAGCACAAAAAUCAGGCCAAUUUGUGAAUAGGGACAACGUGGAGGAUUGCUUGCCUUGGCGGAGGUCAGAUUGAUUGACUGUUUUGACAGAGAGUUUGUCAAGCCUUGUGAUGUUGUCAGUCUUGGUCUUAGCUUGCACUCUCUUAGAGGAGACGCAAAAAAGGUGCCUCAUCAGCCCUUUGGGCUUCCGGAUGUCAAGCGAGGGAACAUCUGGAUGUGCGUGCACGCGCAGCUGACCAUCACGGUCGCCCUGUUGAGGACGUCCAGCGCAUCCUCCAUUUGACUUCACGUGGCACCACGAACAGCCGGCUUCUCACGGACUCAGCAAGGCGACUAAAACGGCGGCGGCGGCGGUGUUACAAUCGGUGCUUGAAGCCCUUGUGCGAGUGGGUGCAGGUGAGCACCUCUGGGUUGGAGCAGCCCACGUCCACGUACCUCUGACCCUGGAUGAUGUUGCAGCCAUAGCACUGCAGACCCGCCACUGCGGGGGGAAACAAAAGACAUCUUGACAAGGCUUUCGCCUUAGGAAGACAGUCGAAGAAAGCCACUUGAACCGAUGACAGUAUUGUGCUCAGCACUUGACGAGAAGUUAAUCUAAAAUGCCAUCAGGAUUCAUCUUGAGGGGCUGCUUUUCUAUUUCCCCCUCAUCUUGAGCGACAAGCGUAAACAAGACACACUGGUGAUCUUCUCCUCUCCAGCUUUUGGCCUCAGUGACUGACUCAGCCUCAGUAGCGCUUCACCAUUUCAAAGCUUAGCAGCCUGCAUACGUUUGGAGGCGACGGAAGAGAAAAUGACUCCAGGGAGGGAGGGAGGGAGGGGUGGGGGUUCCUUUUCAAGUGAUGAUUCAAAUGAUUUGCUCAAACAGCCGCAAGUGGAGCGCAUUGAGACCUCUAGCAAUGACUUCUUUCAGGAAUGAGCCAGGUUCUUUUUAUGGUCUGCCCAGUACUUUCAAGAAAAAAGAGCGAACCCAAUCCAUCCUCGGGGGUUAAGCGGCGAUUGUCUGUGAAUUCAAAGCCAUCGCACACACCUGCGACUGACCCGGCAAAUCCCGCACACACAAGAUGGAAGAUCAGCUUUGGAGCUGAAACCAAUCCGCCCUCUUUAUCUGCGGCGGUCCACGGAGGACACGAGCCUCUCACUUGCCCGGCCGCCGCUAAAUAGCCAAACCCAAAGCCGGGAUGGAGCUUUCAGGAGCAAACUAAUCCCGUCGCAAAUGCUCUUACAAAAAUCACUUUUGGAAAUCUGCUGGAAUCGAUGUAAAGCUUCGCCGGGGACCGGAAGUGUGUGCUGAUGUGUCAUUUCCACCCCGUAUUGGUGAUACAGGGGUCACCAACAUGGGGCCCGUGGGCAACAGGUGACCCCCAAGGACCACAAGAGUAGCCAGUCCUAAUAAGUUGAUCCAACAAGUCUUUUAACUCAAUUUUCGGAUCGAGACACUCCGUUCUGUGUCCAUUUGCACAUUUGUACCACCUCGGGGACGUUCCAAGUAUUCCAUUAGAGUAGAGGGAAGAACUGCGGCGUUUGUUCUGCGGGAUGUAAAUGAUGGCAAUUUACAAGCGGCAAAAGAAGCUGAUUUAACUGUUCGUUAGCAUGCGAUGCUGCACGCCGGCUGGCCUCAUGAAACAUUGAGGAGCUGCCCAGUUAUGAGCAUUUGUCAACAUAAUGAGGACUUACUGGAGAGACAUUCGACCCUCCCGCCUCGGCAUCCCGUUGGUACAAUCCAAUUUAUUAUGACUGCUCACCGGGGUCUAUCCAAGCAAACAUUGAUUCAUUAUAAAGAUGUCUCAAUCCAAUGGUAGCAAAGUCGGAUUCACUGUCUGCUACUUGUUUGACACACAAAAAGUAAUGCUAUUAUAUACCUAAUGAGGGAAAAAUAUUUAAAUUAUAUUUACACUGAAGAAAAAAAAAUUCUUACUAGCGUUAGCUUCAUGACAAGAAAUAUUUAAAAAAAAAACUCAGAACAGCUUGUAGGCCACUGACCUCAAACGCCCUAAUACAUUACAAAUGUACAAAUCUAAUGUAAUUCUUUAUCAUGAAUUUGUGUGCACGGAACAGCAAUCCACAAUGUAUAUUUUUAAAUUUUGUUAACGCCCGAUAGAAAUCAACAAAUGCUCUUCUAACGCAUUUGAAAUUGUGCUUUUGUAUUAAGCUCCCCUGUUGAUAGUUGUUGUUUUGAAUCCCAACAAGAAAGAAAAAAACUAAUCCUGUAUCACUCUUUAAACAAACAAAAAAAACAAUUUAAUAUUUUGGAUUAGAUUCUGUCAUGUAAAUAUAAUUUAGUUUAUGCAUCUAAAUCCUCUUGCAGUCAACGAGGGCAGCGCUCCGUAGUCAUCGUAGGCUUCAUUUUGUUUCCUCAUCUCAUUAGCGCCAUUAAUGGUCUUUGCCUUAUUGGUAAACGAGGCGUCCGAGGGCUUCAUUAGGGAGUUGGAGAUCAAAGGUGACCAUGUACUCUGGAGACACUAAAGCGCUCUGUCGUCUCAGCCCCUUCAUUUCCACGUCGCAACCCCCUCCCAAGGUUACAGCAAAGCUCUGCUCUCGUCAAUUGUUACGACUCUGUUGGGAAAUUUAAGUUGCCGACUGUGGAUAUUUGGCGUGGAUUAGAAGCAAUUACAUGUGGAGCCAAGUCAUAGUUAUUGGAAAUGUGGCUUGUGGUGGUCUUAACAAUUAUUCUGCAGUGGAUCAGAAAUAUUCCACUUUUAUCACAAUUAUGUCAUUGCAAGUUGAAUGUACAGCACUUUAAUUGCAUUUAAAAAAAAAAAAAAAGCAAGAAAUUGGAUCUCGGACUGACCUUGUGU